CCUAGAAGAGCCAUUUGUCCUCUUCAGAAUGUCAUACCUGUGGACCAGCUUUUUUGCUAUAUUUGCAACUGUUUUAAUUGGUGUUGCAGUGAGUGCUGCCACAGGCGAAAUGAAGAACACAAAAUGGAAAGAUCAUCUUUGUUGUGACUGGGCUGUCGCACUUUGGAGAAAACUGAUCCCUUUUUAUCGUGAAGAGAAAGUUCCGGGCGCGACCGCACCGAAUACCAAUGGAGAGCAGCACAGCCACAAACUUGAAAUUGAUACGCUCCUCACAUACACAAAAGAGACAAAUAUUUAGAUGCGGCCAUACAGCACGAUAUGUCUGCUGCUAGGUGUUUAGUAUUGUAACCGUCUUAAAGAGUCUCAAGUAUUUCGUUAAUGAUACUUAUUUCGGUUAGCUUGUCUUCGCCGGACCCUCUGGCUACCUACCACUACUGUGCAACGUCCUCAAUAUCAAGGGGACAGUCGAACUCUUCACCUUUAAAGAACCGGAG